rnacentral:rRNA from 1 species
UACGUAGGGGGCUAGCGUUGUCCGGAAUCAUUGGGCGUAAAGAGCGUGUAGGCGGCUCGGUAAGUCCGCUGUGAAAGUCGGGGGCUCAACCCUCGAAUGCCGGUGGAUACUGUCGAGCUAGAGUGCGGAAGAGGCGAGUGGAAUUCCUGGUGUAGCGGUGAAAAUGCGCAGAUAUCAGGAGGAACACCAGCAGCGAAGGCGGCGCUCUGGGCUGGAACUGACGCUGAGGAGCGAAAGCGUGGGUAGCAAACAGG